UACGGAGGGUGCAAGCGUUAUCCGGAUUCACUGGGUUUAAAGGGUGCGUAGGAGGGCAGGUAAGUCAGUGGUGAAAUCUCCAAGCUUAACUUGGAACUGCCGUUGAUACUAUCUGUCUUGAAUAUUGUGGAGGUGAGCGGAAUAUGUCAUGUAGCGGUGAAAUGCUUAGAUAUGACAUAGAACACCAAUUCGCGAAGGCAGCUCACUACUCAAUCAAUUGACUCUGAGGCACGAAAGCGUGGGGAUCAAACAGG
rnacentral:rRNA from 1 species